UCUAACUUGGAGAACCCGGCCUCUUCCCGAAUGCUCUGAUGCCUCUUCCCCGGUAGCAGAUCGUCGGGGAGAGCCCUGGUUUUCCAAGAAUUUUUUC
rfam:Varibaculum cambriense DORA_20 Q618_VCMC00001, whole genome shotgun sequence.